rnacentral:rRNA from 1 species
GAUGAACGCUGGCGGCGUGCCUAAUACAUGCAAGUCGAGCGAACAGACGAGGAGCUUGCUCCUCUGACGUUAGCGGCGGACGGGUGAGUAACACGUGGAUAACCUACCUAUAAGACUGGGAUAACUUCGGGAAACCGGAGCUAAUACCGGAUAAUAUAUUGAACCGCAUGGUUCAAUAGUGAAAGACGGUUUUGCUGUCACUUAUAGAUGGAUCCGCGCCGCAUUAGCUAGUUGGUAAGGUAACGGCUUACCAAGGCAACGAUGCGUAGCCGACCUGAGAGGGUGAUCGGCCACACUGGAACUGAGACACGGUCCAGACUCCUACGGGAGGCAGCAGUAGGGAAUCGUCCGCAAUGGGCGAAAGCCUGACGGAGCAACGCCGCGUGAGUGAUGAAGGUCUUCGGAUCGUAAACUCUGUUAUUAGGGAAGAACAAAUGUGUAAGUAACUAUGCACGUCUUGACGGUACCUAAGCAGAAAGCCACGGCUAACUACGU